rnacentral:rRNA from 1 species
UGGGGAAUUUUGGACAAUGGGCGAAAGCCUGAUCCAGCAAUGCCGCGUGUGUGAAGAAGGCCUUCGGGUUGUAAAGCACUUUUGUCCGGAAAGAAAUCCUUGGCUCUAAUACAGUCGGGGGAUGACGGUACCGGAAGAAUAAGCACCGGCUAACUACGUGCCAGCAGCCGCGGUAAUACGUAGGGUGCAAGCGUUAAUCGGAAUUACUGGGCGUAAAGCGUGCGCAGGCGGUUUGCUAAGACCGAUGUGAAAUCCCCGGGCUCAACCUGGGAACUGCAUUGGUGACUGGCAGGCUAGAGUAUGGCAGAGGGGGGUAGAAUUCCACGUGUAGCAAGUGAAAAUGCGUAGAGAUGUGGAGGAAUACCGAUGGCGAAGGCAGCCCCCUGGGCCAAUACUGACGCUCAUGCACGAAAAGCGUGGGGAGCAAAACAGGAUUAGAUACCCUGGUAGUCCACGCCCUAAAACGAUGUC